rnacentral:misc_RNA from 1 species
GAAUCGAUAUACUAAAACACUUCACUUUUGAACAUAGUAAAGACAAAGAGAUAUCACAGAGAGGGUCUCAAAUCCAUUUUUAUAGCAUUUCAGUGACCUUAAAUAACUAAUACAAUAAUCAGAAAAGAAAUUUCCAAUUUGGGAUAUUUAAGCAUGACCAACUUGUGAUCACAUAGCUUUGAAUAAGCCAAUGUACCCAAUAAU